rnacentral:rRNA from 1 species
AGCGGCGGACGGGUGAGUAACGCGUGGGUAACCUGCCUCAUACAGGGGGAUAACAGUUGGAAACGGCUGCUAAUACCGCAUAAGCGCACAGUACCGCAUGGUACGGUGUGAAAAACUCCAGUGGUAUGAGAUGGACCCGCGUCUGAUUAGGUAGUUGGUGGGGUAACGGCCUACCAAGCCGACGAUCAGUAGCCGACCUGAGAGGGUGACCGGCCACAUUGGGACUGAGACACGGCCCAA